rnacentral:misc_RNA from 1 species
CCUGGCUGACUUGCCUGUUUCUAACCU